rnacentral:rRNA from 1 species
AUGCGUAGCCAAUGGAUGUACUUGUACAGUGCCAGUGAAUACAGCACAUCCAUGCACAGUGACGGUUCACCACCACUAUCUCAGGUUUACCCUUUUGGCAUCAAUCAUUCUAGGGUAAUAAACAUCACAUCGAUCAACAUGAUUGCAGCGAAGCCCUUCAGCGUUUUCAGCAUCAGAUCUUCUAGGGUUGCGUCAACGCUUGUCCAGCACUGCACAUAUUGCUCCUCGCACUUCACUCGUCUCAAUACCGUGAAGGAUUCAGCAAUGGCCAACCUAACAGGAAGGGGGGAAAUAGGUUAA